rnacentral:lncRNA from 1 species
UGUUACCGUUGUACAUUGAUUAGGAGUAAGAUACAUAUUACGAUUAGAAACUAAGUAGUAAAUUGUCGUUUCUUUCCCCGAUAUAUCAGAUUCCCGUGAAUGAAGCACGAUGCUAUGAACACAAAUUUGACAUGUUAAUGGCCCAAAGAGGUAAUUUGAACGUUAUUAAUGUAAUAAAUGUCAUUUAAUAUGCAUAAUUGAUAUAUUCGCAUAGUCAUUUUUAUAUUGUGUAAGGUUAUACUGCGAUUUGUUUAUAUUUGGUAUGCAACAGGGGUUUUGCAUUGAAACUAAUAUGGUUCUUUUUUGUCUACUUAUAUUCAGUUCUUACGUAAACCUGCGUAACAAAGUAUACUAGGCCAUGAACUUUGUAUAAUGUUAGACAACUGGGUGAAUGUAUGCGAUGCACUGUAUGUUUAUUUGACAAUUGUGACAUGAAUAAAGUAUCAGAACUUUCAGUGUAUUUUUUCUUUGCGACGCCCACAGUUACAGUAAGAACUCUACAUCAUUGACCUGUCUGAUGUGUGAAGAUUGCGACACAGAAUUGAAGAAAUCAUUUGAUGAACAAAUACAGAUUGAAACUACAUGUUGACAAUUUUAUGACAAUAAUAAUAAUAUUACUUAAAUGUCUUUGUUGAUAACUUGAUAUAUUUUGAAUUAAUUAAACAUGAUGUCCCGAGGCGAUGUCGAGGGCG